rnacentral:rRNA from 1 species
UAACCUGCCCAAGAGAUCGGGAUAACACCUGGAACCAGAUGCUAAUACCGGAUAAUAACAGAUGAUGCCUAUCAACUGUUUAAAAGAUGGUUCUGCUAUCACUCUUGGAUGGACCUGCGGUGCAUUAGCUAGUUGGUAGGGUAACGGCCUACCAAGGCGAUGAUGCAUAGCCGAGUUGAGAGACUGAUCGGCCACAUUGGGACUGAGACACGGCCCAAACUCCUACGGGAGGCAGCAGCC